CCUACGGGAGGCAGCAGUGAGGAAUAUUGGUCAAUGGUCGGGAGACUGAACCAGCCAAGCCGCGUGAGGGAUGAAGGUACAGAGUAUCGUAAACCUCUUUUGUCAGGGAACAAAGGCGGGGACGUGUCCCCGGAUGAGUGUACCUGAAGAAAAAGCAUCGGCUAACUCUGUGCCAGCAGCCGCGGUAAUACGGAGGAUGCGAGCGUUAUCCGGAUUUAUUGGGUUUAAAGGGUGCGCAGGCGGUCUGUUAAGUCAGCGGUAAAAGCCCGGGGCUCAACCCCGGCCCGCCGUUGAAACUGGCAGUCUCGAGUUGGAGAGAAGUAUGCGGAAUGCGCGGUGUAGCGGUGAAAUGCAUAGAUAUCGCGCAGAACUCCGAUUGCGAAGGCAGCAUGCCGGCUCCACACUGACGCUGAGGCACGAAAGCGUGGGUAUCGAACAGGAUUAGAUACCCUUGUAGUC
rnacentral:rRNA from 1 species